GAUUUCAUGGCUCAGGAUGAACGCUAGCGGCAGGCUUAACACAUGCAAGUCGAGGGGCAGCGCGGGAUAGCAAUAUCCUGGCGGCGACCGGCGGAAGGGUGCGUAACGCGUGAGCGACAUGCCCGUUGCCCGGGGACAACCGGUGGAAACGCCGACUAAUCCCCGAUGGGAUAUUGUGCCGCAUGGCACGAUAUUGAAAGUUACGGCGGCGACGGAUUGGCUCGCGUCCGAUUAGCUGGUUGG
rnacentral:rRNA from 1 species